GAUGAACGCUGGCGGCGUGCCUAAUACAUGCAAGUCGAGCGAACGGACGAGAAGCUUGCUUCUCUGAUGUUAGCGGCGGACGGGUGAGUAACACGUGGAUAACCUACCUAUAAGACUGGGAUAACUUCGGGAAACCGGAGCUAAUACCGGAUAAUAUUUUGAACCGCAUGGUUCAAAAGUGAAAGACGGUCUUGCUGUCACUUAUAGAUGGAUCCGCGCUGCAUUAGCUAGUUGGUAAGGUAACGGCUUACCAAGGCAACGAUGCAUAGCCGACCGGAGAGGGGGAUCGGCCCCACUGGAACUGAGACGCGGUCCAGACUACUACGGGAGGCAGCAGUAGGGAAUCUUCCGCAAGGGGCGAAAGCCUGACGGAGCAACGCCGCGUGAGUGAUGAAGGGCUUCGGAUCGUAAAACUCUGUUAUUAGGGAAGAACAUAUGUGUAAGUAACUGUGCACAUCUUGACGGUACCUAAUCAGAAAGCAACGGCUAACUACGUG
rnacentral:rRNA from 1 species